GGGGUGGAGCCUGGCUGUACCUCUCUUACUCUCUGACUGCCACUGAGGAAGGUUUUCUUUCUGGAGAUCCCUCCUUUUGGAGUUUUCUACUGCAAGCCGAGGAUGGGGCCAUUCUCAAAGGAGGAACAUGUCAGGAAUGAACAGAAGAAGAGUUGAUCAUAUCUGAAUGCCAGAAACAUAAAUUAAUGUGCAUGUGAAUUGUGGUCCAGGAUUCAAGCCAGUUCUUUUUGCUAGACUAAAUGGCUUCAUCAUCCUCAUGCAAAACUGCUGAGGAGAGCUGGAGGAAGUUCAUGCAUGAUGUGGAAAACCGAACUCUCUUGCAACUGGGCCCUUUGUGAUUAAUGGAAAGAGUCCAGUAAAUCAAACAUAUGCUUUUGGUCUCCAGGGAAAAAGUGGUUGUGAUUAAAAAUCACCUUCUCUUCAUUAGCUUCAUUUGUUUUCCCAAGAUGGGGCAAAAACCUGAAAGAAGUAUGAGUGGAUGGAGCAGUUUAGUUUAAAACAAAACAGGAGAUGGCCACAAACCUGCACAUUCCCUGUGUGCUGCACUGUGCCGGGAGGCUUUGGCGCUCUGUGAAGGCUUGGUUUGUCUCCUCACUUGCUGCUCGCUCUUUGGCAGGAGCUGCAUGUACUGAGCUCAGUGUUACCCGCAGCUUCCGGAGCAACAAGACCACAGAGGGAGAAGCCUGUUUGACACACAAGGAACUGUGAAGUCUGUGCUGAGGAAGCCUUUCAGGUGUGAUAUUCCAGAUAAAGACACUUGCCAGCACCCCUUGCCAGCACCUCCUACAAGGCUGGUCCUGAAAGGUGGAAGGACAACCUUUUGGCCCCUCUAACAAGCUAUGAUGGAAGUAGUCUCUGCAGGAGAAGUCUGCUGUUGUGGGAGAAAACCAAAUGACUGAUAACCUUGGAGGCCUUCAGGCCAGGUCAACUAAGGAGGAACAGCUCUAUUGUUACCAGUGGUUAUAAGAGCACUGGGGCGCAUUUGUUGCAGGGUUUAGCUAAUGUACUGUGUUUAAACAGUUUAAGUUGUACCAAAAUUCUAAGAGACCAAGUUCUUUCUUUUGUUUCAGAAGUUCAGUCACUUGAGCUGGUGGAUCUUGUACUGGAUUGUCCAUCUCAUUGUACAGCAUAGGUGUAUGGCAUUUAUUCCAGCCCAGGGUUUUUUAGGCUUGUGAACUAUCAGUAAGAAGUGGUGAUGUACCAUGGCCCUGAAGGGAGGGGAGAUAGCUUUUUCAGAUGAGAACGUGCUAAGAAAUUUUGUAAAGAAUGAGAACGAGGGACCACAACGCUCAUGAGUCAUAGUGCAGACUUGGAUAUCACUGAGGAAUAUGAAGAAGACAGGGCUCAGAGCAGGUGGGAAGAACUCAGCAAUGAACCAGCAGGAACUGAGUGCUGCUGCUGCUCACAGAGUAACUGGAUGGUGCCUAACCAACUGUCUGUGUCCUAAGGCCCCGCCUGUAUGGACCCAGCUGUUGAAAGAAAAGCAAAAUCUUAAAUCUUGCCUUUCCUGUCUUCUCUAAUUAUUUGGAGGGAGUUGUGUUAAAGAGUUAACUGCCUAGAUUUCAUCAUCAUAAAAUCUGGAGUUUCUGAGUUUAGAAGUUUUUCAGUCCCUUUUGGUGAGCCCGUAUAGAUUAAAGCACAAAUCUGGCUGGCCCACUGUCUCACGUAAAAGUUCUGUAAGAAUGGAUAUGCUGUGCCUUUUUGUAGAGUCUUUAAAAGCUCCUUGUGCUCUCAAAUGUGUGCUUGUGCAAAAGCAAGUAUUGAUACCUGGGGCUUAUAAAAAUGAAUCCUGCAAUUAAAACAUAUCAAUGUAAAAAUUGUCAUUAGCAAGGACAGGUUCAUACUUUAUCUGAGAUUUUUUUAACUCAAGUGUCAUGGAAAAUCUAAAAGAAAUCUGCCAUUAGUAGUACAAACAAUCUGCCUAUCCUGUCAUUUGAAUACCUUAUUAAGGACUAUUCUUAGUGAAUGGAUUAAGUUGUGCCUGAGGUAAAACAUUAUCCAAGAUAGAGAACAUCCAAACUCAUGUAACUAAGAGUUUCUAAAAUUUCAUCAUCACAUUUUGUGCAUGCUUAUAAUUACCCCAUUGACACCCUUUAAAAGUCUCCAGUAAAAUGUGAUAUAAGCUUUUAAGGUUCCCCAAAUGAAUAUAUGAGUGGAUGUAUAAUAUAGAACUUUUAGAAUAGAGGUUUUAAGAGGUUUUUGUUUAGCAUUGAUUUUACUGUUGGUGGACCAGAUUCUGAAAUAGCCCUUUUUUUUUUUUUUUCACUGAGGCUACUGCUGUUCAUUUUCAUGGAGCAGUACUUAGCUAACAUUUAAGUAACUAGCUCAUUUAAAAUACCUUGGUGGGGUACAGGUGUGUACAUUUAACCCAGAGGGAAAACGGACCAGGAAAAGAACAAUUACAGGAUCUUUCUUCUCCCCCUCCCUUGCCACUCCUGCGUGCCCAAGAGGAAAAAGAAUCGCAUUUCAGAUCCAAGGAAGUCACACUUGCCCUGUUUGUUCUCUGAUACAGGCCUGUAAACAGAGACAUUCAGUCUGUAAACAAGUCAACCUUACAAAGUGACUGAAAGAUAACAGUCCUCCAUCUAACAGUGGGAGAGGAGGGUGGGAGCAGGGGGAGGACUGAUAGAGAGGCUGCAAUAAAAACAGGAAGGUCUCUGUUGGUCCUCUUGAAGUUAGCGGUUAAAAACAUCAAAGCAUGGAGUGUGUUUUUUUCAACCAGACUGCUGUGUCACUUUAUAAUUCUAUGUAGAGCAACCGUCCAGCAGCUAACAUACUGCAACUGUUAGUGUGAGCUGCGCCUUGAUUUAGAGGAAUUGUAUCCAGCUUCGGGCAUGUUAAGCUAAAUAAUCUCUUAUAGAUUUACUUGAUGUGCCAUUGACGAAAUUUUAACUUUUCAGAGCUGUUAAUUACAAGCUAUCCAGGAUUUUUUUCCUCACAUUAAAAAAAAAUAUGCUAACAACAACAAAAAAAAGUCACAAAAUGCACUCAUCCCUUCAAAACCCAAAUAAUUUUCCCAGACUCUGAAGUCUUCUCAGAAUUUCCUACCCUGAAAUUUUAAGUGAAAACCAAGAUGGCAUUGGAAAGGAAGGAAAAACAACUAUUCUGUAUAUAUCAAAGCAAAAAUGUCCAUAUGCUGAGCACAGUUCUAAGAAAUAUAAAUUAUUCAACA